ACCUUUGAAGGGUCGUGCACGCCUCGGUGCUUUCCCAUAUAAUCCAUCUCACCCCUUUUGUGCAUCACCGCGUGGGGGUCUCUUUUAGCUAGUUCUGAAGGGGGCUUUCACGUUUUUACAAACACACCCUUUUAAUGCAAUAUGUAGAAUGUCUUACUUUUUGUGAUCACACACAAUCAAUACAACUUUCAACAACGGAUCUCUUGGCUCUCGCAUCGAUGAAGAACGCAGCGAAAUGCGAUACGUAAUGUGAAUUGCAGAAUUCAGUGAAUCAUCGAAUCUUUGAACGCACCUUGCGCCCUUUGGCAUUCCGAAGGGCACACCCGUUUGAGUGUCGUGAUAUCCUCAAACCUUCUUGGUUUCUUGACUGAGAAGGCUUUGGACUUUGGAGGCUUUUGCUGGACCUUUGCUUGUUGAAGCCAGCUCCUCUUAAAUGAAUUAGUGGGGUCUGCUUUGCUGAUCCUUGACGUGAUAAGAUGCUUCUACGUCUUGGGUUUAGCACUGUUUGCUCUAGAUCCUGCUUCUAACCGUCUCAUAGAAGACAAAUGGUCGACUUGACCCACAAACCUUGACCUCAAAUCGGGUGAGACUACCCGCUGAACUUAAGCAUAUCAAUA
rnacentral:rRNA from 1 species